UACGAAGGGGGCUAGCGUUGCUCGGAAUCACUGGGCGUAAAGGGUGCGUAGGCGGGUUUUUAAGUCAGAGGUGAAAUCCUGGAGCUCAACUCCAGAACUGCCUUUGAUACUGAAAGUCUUGAGUAUGGGAGAGGUGAGUGGAACUGCGAGUGUAGCGGUGAAAUGCGUAGAUAUCAGGAGGAACACCGGUGGCGAAGGCGCACACCUGGCCCGAUACUGACGCUGAGGCGCGAAAGCUAGGGGAGCAAACGGG
rnacentral:rRNA from 1 species